GGCAGAGUGCGAAGAGGCCCUCAAUGAUGCCAUGCUAAAAGUCAAGCCGACUGCAGCUGCUUUAUUAGGUGUGGUUUAUGAUUUCAUCCUAUUAUGGAUGAUAGACUUUUUUUUCUUUAAUUUUCUUACUUAGCGAAUGAUUUCAUGUUAAUCGGAUAAGCAUGAGAAACACUAUUAUAAGAUGAUCAAUGCAUAUUUAAGAUCAUGCAAAUUUGUUUAAUCAUGUUCCUGUGUGAACGAGGUGCUAUUGGAACCUGCUCAUAUGACUGCGUCCUCCCAUGCCUUGCAUCGUUUCUGGCUUGCAUCUCCCAAGGUCGGAUACUCAUGGAUACUUAGAUAGCUCAUAUCACUGCCGCCAAUCAAAUCCUUGGUUUGAGUCGAGCUCGAGCACUCCGGAGUUGGGAUUGAACGUCCAGAAACAAACAUUCAUGCCAUCAAGUCCUUAUGCCUCCCAGACUUCCAGUCUCUCAAUUCUGAUUAAUCUUGGUGAUCAUUCUGAUUAAUCUCAGUUAUCUCUGCUGGCUCU